CAACUAUUCAAAGCGCUCGCCCCUGAUGUGCCCCCUGACAUGUUCCUGAUGGACCGGGCUCACAGAGUGCCAAAACCCACCUUCUUACCACCUGAAACCCCUAGAGACGUGUUGCUGAGAAUGCAUUACUUUCACAUAAAGGAAGAGGUAAUGAGAGCAAACAGAACCAGGAAAAAAACAGACAUGCCGGCGGCAUACCAGGCAAUAGCAAUUUAUGCCGACAUCUCAGCAUACACGCUUAAACGCAGGACGGAUUUUGCAGGAAUCACGACGCAACUCCGCCAACAACAAAUACCAUACAGAUGGGGAUACCCGGUGAAGCUGAUCGUACAGAGAAACGGAAGACCAACUACAAUACAGAGCCCAGACGAAGGAAUGAAAAUCCUCAGAACCUGGGGCAUAGAAAUUC